CCAGCGGAGGGAUCAUUACCGAGUUUACAACUCCCAAACCCCUGUGAACAUACCUAUCGUUGCCUCGGCGGUGCCCGCUCCGGCGGCCCGCCAGAGGACCCCCAAACUCUUGUUUUAUACAGUAUCUUCUGAGUAACACGAUUAAAUAAAUCAAAACUUUCAACAACGGAUCUCUUGGUUCUGGCAUCGAUGAAGAACGCAGCGAAAUGCGAUAAGUAAUGUGAAUUGCAGAAUUCAGUGAAUCAUCGAAUCUUUGAACGCACAUUGCGCCCGCCAGUAUUCUGGCGGGCAUGCCUGUUCGAGCGUCAUUUCAACCCUCAAGCCCCCGGGCUUGGUGUUGGGGAUCGGCGUGCCCUCGCGGCGCGCCGUCCCCUAAAUCUAGUGGCGGUCUCGCUGUAGCUUCCUCUGCGUAGUAGCAACACUCGCACUGGAUCGCAGCGCGGCCACGCCGUUAAACCCCCCACUUCUGAAAGUU
rnacentral:rRNA from 1 species